rnacentral:misc_RNA from 1 species
UCUCCGUUGGUGAACCAGCGGAGGGAUCAUUACCGAGUUAUCAACUCCCAAACCCCUGUGAACAUACCUGAACGUUGCCUCGGCGGGACCGCCCCGGCGCCCAUCUCGCGGCCCGGAACCAGGCGCCCGCCGGAGGUAAACCAAACCCUUGAAUUGCAUGGCCUCUCUGAGUCUUCUGUACUGAAUAAGUCAAAACUUUCAACAACGGAUCUCUUGGUUCUG